rnacentral:sRNA from 1 species
UUAUUGCGUUAGGGAUUGUAAUGGAAAUCCUUUUUGUUCGUUCCUCACAAAAAGAUUGAAACGAAAAGCCCGACCCGAU